CCAGCAGCUGCGGUAAUACGUAGGGUGCAAGCGUUAAUCGGAAUUACUGGGCGUAAAGCGUGCGCAGGCGGUUAUAUAAGUCAGAUGUGAAAUCCCUGGGCUCAACCUAGGAACUGCAUUUGAGACUGUAUGGCUAGAGUGUGUCAGAGGGGGGUAGAAUUCCACGUGUAGCAGUGAAAUGCGUAGAUAUGUGGAGGAAUACCGAUGGCGAAGGCAGCCCCCUGGGAUAACACUGACGCUCAUGCACGAAAGCGUGGGGAGCAAACAGGAUUAGAUACCCUGGUAGUCCACGCCCUAAACGAUGUCUACUAGUUGUUGGGUCUUAAUUGACUUAGUAACGCAGCUAACGCGUGAAGUAGACCGCCUGGGGAGUACGGUCGCAAGAUUAAAACUCAAAGGAAUUGACGGGGACCCGCACAAGCGGUGGAUGAUGUGGAUUAAUUCGAUGCAACGCGAAAAACCUUACCUACCCUUGACAUGUACAGAAUGCCGAAGAGAUUUGGCAGUGCUCGC
rnacentral:rRNA from 1 species